GACUUUGUAAUACCCUUUCAAUUGACAUAUAAUUGACAUAGACCCAAGUUUUCUAGUAAAAUGAGGAUGCGGCAUCGGGAAUGGUC
rnacentral:tRNA from 1 species